rnacentral:tRNA from 1 species
CGGGGUGUAGGUCAGUUGGUAGACCGCCAGGCUGGGGGUCUGGAAGCCGAGAGUUCGAGUCUCUCCACCCCGACCA